CCAACUUCUGAAAUGUUGACCUCGGAUCAGGUAGGAAUACCCGCUGAACUUAAGCAUAUCAAUAA
rnacentral:rRNA from 1 species